rnacentral:rRNA from 1 species
UACGAAGGGGGCUAGCGUUGCUCGGAAUUACUGGGCGUAAAGCGCACGUAGGCGGUCUUUUAAGUCGGGGGUGAAAUCCAGGAGCUCAACUCCAGAACUGCCUUCGAUACUGGAAGACUUGAGUCCGGGAGAGGUGAGUGGAACUGCGAGUGUAGAGGUGAAAUUCGUAGAUAUUCGCAAGAACACCAGUGGCGAAGGCGGCUCACUGGCCCGGUACUGACGCUGAGGUGCGAAAGCGUGGGGAGCAAACAGG